ACGGAGGAUGCGAGCGUUAUCCGGAUUUAUUGGGUUUAAAGGGUGCGUAGGUGGACUGUUUAGUCAGUGGUGAAAUGCUGAUGCUCAACGUUAGCAUUGCCGUUGAAACUGACAGUCUUGAGAGCGAUUGAGGCAGGCGGAAUGUGUGGUGAGGGGUUGAAAAAAAAAGAAACCACGAAGAACCCGGAUGGGGAGGGCAUCUGACCAAGCCACAACUGACUCUGAAGCACGAAAGCGUGGGGAUCAAACAG
rnacentral:rRNA from 1 species